AGAACAUCAACUCUUACCUCCAGAGAACAAGAAACUUCGAGGAGGACGCCCUGGCAAUGCAACAAAUGCGCGGUCUUCCACUGCCCACACCUCAGGAUCAGAGAAGUCAAUCUAACCAAGAGCCAAGAAUGAACGAAUAUGAUUCCAGACCCACAGAGGACCCAAGAAUGAUGCAAGGACAGUCAGCCAAUCAGCCAACUAUCAACACCAGGGGGCCAGUUGGUA
rnacentral:sRNA from 1 species